GACGAACGCUGGCGGCGUGCUUAACACAUGCAAGUCGAACGGAAAGGCCCUGCUUUUGUGGGGUGCUCGAGUGGCGAACGGGUGAGUAACACGUGAGUAACCUGCCCUUGACUUUGGGAUAACUUCAGGAAACUGGGGCUAAUACCGGAUAGGAGCUCCUGCUGCAUGGUGGGGGUUGGAAAGUUUCGGCGGUUGGGGAUGGACUCGCGGCUUAUCAGCUUGUUGGGGGGGUAGUGGCUUACCAAGGCUUUGACGGGUGGCCGGCCUGAGAGGGUGACCGGGCACAGGGGGAGGGAGAGACGGGCGGGACUGCUACGGGAGGAGGAAGUGGGGAAGAUGGCAGAGUGGGCGGGAGCCUGAUGCAGCAGCGCCGCGUGGGGGAUGACGGCUUUCGGGGUGUAAAACGAUGUCGCGGGGGACGAAGCGGGAGUGAGGGUAAUGGGUAAAGAAGCACCGGCUAACUACGUG
rnacentral:rRNA from 1 species